rnacentral:tRNA from 1 species
UGUGGUUCCCAUUAGCGACACAGGCCGCAUGCUUGCUGACACUCCCCAGGAAAGCGUUCA